GUCCACGCCCUAAACGAUGUACACUAGGUAUUGGGAGUAUCGACCCUCUCAGUGCCGUUUAAAAAGCUAACGCGUUAAGUGUACCGCCUGGGGAGUACGGCCGCAAGGUUAAAACUCAAAGAAAUAGACGGGGACCCCGCACAAGUAGAGGAUCAUGCGGUUUAAUUCGAUGGUACGCGGAAACCUUACCAAGGCUUGACAUAUAGCUGCAUAUCUUUGGAAACAUUGAUAGCCUUCGAGGGUGCUAUACAGGUGCUGCAUGGUUGCCGU
rnacentral:rRNA from 1 species